CCUACGGGUGGCAGCAGUGAGGAAUAUUGGUCAAUGGACGAGAGUCUGAACCAGCCAAGUAGCGUGAAGGAUGACUGCCCUAUGGGUUGUAAACUUCUUUUAUAUGGGAAUAAAACGUUCCACGUGUGGGAUUUUGUAUGUACCAUAUGAAUAAGGAUCGGCUACCUCCGUGCCAGCAGCCGCGGUAAUACGGAGGAUCCGAGCGUUAUCCGGAUUUAUUGGGUUUAAAGGGAGCGUAGGUGGAUUGUUAAGUCAGUUGUGAAAGUUUGCGGCUCAACCGUAAAAUUGCAGUUGAAACUGGCAGUCUUGAGUACAGUAGAGGUGGGCGGAAUUCGUGGUGUAGCGGUGAAAUGCUUAGAUAUCACGAAGAACUCCGAUUGCGAAGGCAGUUCACUGGACUGCAACUGACACUGAGGCUCGAAAGUGUGGGUAUCAAACAGGAUUAGAUACCCCUGUAGUC
rnacentral:rRNA from 1 species